rnacentral:rRNA from 1 species
AGUAGUUUGAUCAGUGGCUCGAGGACGAACGCUGGCGGCGUGCUUAACACAUGCAAGUCGAACGAUGAUGGGACUGCUUCGGUGGUUUUUGAUUAGUGGCGAACGGGUGAGUAACACGUGAGUAACCUGCCCUUCACUCUGGGAUAAGCCUUGGAAACGGGGUCUAAUACUGGAUAUUACUUGAGCCCGCAUGGGUUCGGGUGGAAAGCUUUUGUGGUGGAGGAUGGGCUCGCGGCCUAUCAGCUUGUUGGUGAGGUGAUGGCUUACCAAGGCGACGACGGGUAGCCGGCCUGAGAGGGUGACCGGCCACACUGGGACUGAGACACGGCCCAGACUCCUACGGGAGGCAACAGUGGGGAAUAUUGCACAAUGGACGGAAGUCUGAUGCAGCGACGCCGCGUGGGGAUGAAGGCCUUCGGGUUGUAAACCUCUUUCGUCAGGGAAGAAGCCUUUUGGGGUGACGGUACCUGGAGAAGAAGCACCGGCUAACUACGUG